UGUGAAAUUCCGGGGCUUAACUCCGGGCGUGCAGGCGAUACGGGCUGACUUGAGUGCUGUAGGGGAGACUGGAAUUCCUGGUGUAGCGGUGAAAUGCGCAGAUAUCAGGAGGAACACCGAUGGCGAAGGCAGGUCUCUGGGCAGUUACUGACGCUGAGGAGCGAAAGCAUGGGUAGCGAACAGGAUUAGAUACCCUGGUAGUCCAUGCCGUAAACGGUGGGCGCUAGGUGUGAGUCCCUUCCACGGGGUUCGUGCCGUAGCUAACGCAUUAAGCGCCCCGCCUGGGGAGUACGGCCGCAAGGCUAAAACUCAAAGGAAUUGACGGGGGCCCGCACAAGCGGCGGAGCAUGUGGAUUAAUUCGAUGCAACGCGAAGAACCUUACCUGGGCUUGACAUAUACAGGAUUGCUGCAGAGAUGUAGUUUCCCUUGUGGCUUGUAUACAGGUGGUGCAUGGUUGUCGUCAGCUCGUGUCGUGAGAUGUUGGGUUAAGUCCCGCAACGAGCGCAACCCUUGUCUUAUGUUGCCAGCACGUUAUGGUGGGGACUCAUGAGAGACUGCCGGGGUCAACUCGGAGGAAGGUGGGGAUGACGUCAAAUCAUCAUGCCCCUUAUGUCCAGGGCUUCACACGUGCUACAAUGGUCGGUACAAUGCGCAGCGACACUGUGAGGUGGAGCGAAUCGCUGAAAGCCGGCCUUAGUUCGGAUUGGGGUCUGCAACUCGACCCCAUGAAGUUGGAGUCGCUAGUAAUCGCAGAUCAGCAAUGCUGCGGUGAAUACGUUCCCGGGCCUUGUACACACCGCCCGUCACGUCAUGAAAGUUGGUAACACCCGAAGCCAGUGGCUCAAACUCGUUAGGGAGC
rnacentral:rRNA from 2 species